CUUCAAUUCAGGCUUAUGUCUAGGCUUAUCACCAGGUCAAAAUAAUUUCACAAUAUUUCAGUCUAAACCAAACUUCUUUUUCAAAUAAAUGGUCUAAACACUUUGGUAAAUUACAUAAUGAACUAAACUUAUCAUAAGUUUCAUCGUCAAGAGGGAAGUAGCCCAGACCACCAGCUAAGGCCCCUAAAUGAUAGCUCGGUGAUAAAUGAGGUACGAGUGCAGAGACAGCCAAAAGGUUUACCUAGAAGCAGCCACCCUAGAAACAGUGUGUAAUAUCUCACUUUUGAGCGCUCUUGUGCCGAAGAUGAACAGGACUAAACGAUCUACCAAAGUUGUGGGAUGUAAAAAUUUAUCGGUAGGGG